UAUCUCUGGUUAAGAGCUUCAGAUUCAAUUUGACAAGAGACUGGAUCUCAGUUUUUGCAUCGUCAGUUUUUCCUGUGCUUCCAUCCUCGAGACUACCAGCUAAUUUCUUUUCUUCAUUGACAAGAUCCACGUCCUUACAAGGGGAGAGGUUACUAACAAACUUGCCACGCGAGGAAGCUAAAUCUACCGAGGUUACCUGGCAAGCAUUUCUCUCUUCUUCACGAAAUGGAGCACCACCCUGGAUAUUAGUAGGGACCUUUCUAGACAAUGGGCUUUCACAAUAUCCUUCUGAAUGAGUAUUAUGGUCCCUUACACGGUGUAUCAUCUCCUCACAUCUA
rnacentral:lncRNA from 1 species